UACGUAGGGUCCAAGCGUUGUCCGGAUUUAUUGGGCGUAAAGAGCUCGUAGGCGGUUCCGUAAGUCGGAUGUGAAAACUCAGGCUCAACCCGGAGACGCCAUCUGAUACUGCGGUGACUGGAGUCUGGUGAGGGGAUCGACGGAAUACCUGGUGGAGCGGUGAAAUGCGUUGAUAUCUACAGGAACUCCGGUGGACGAAAGCGGCGCGCUGGACCUCUUCUGACGCUGAGGCGCGAAAGCUAGGGGAGCAAACGGG
rnacentral:rRNA from 1 species